rnacentral:lncRNA from 1 species
UACAGGUUCUGGGGAAUCUAACUUGGCUUCCCAGGCUAGUGACUGAAGCAUCUCCUUGGCCUCACUUCUUUUCUUUGACUUCGAAUCACAUGGGCCUGUUCCUUUAAGAUCACUCUACUCUACAGUGUUUUUGCCCUUGGGACUCGAGGCGACAAUCUCUCUGAAUCCUGUUGGAUUAACCCCUCCUGAUAUCUGUGACAAGGGAAAAGAGGGCAAUGAAGUGAGACAGCAUUUGCAAGUUUAAGAGGGCUCAGUUCUGCUGACAACCAAGGUGAGUUGCCUUGCCUUUCACAUAGCAAGGUACUUGAAGCUAUGCUUUUGCCUUCUUGCUCUGUGACU